GCUUAUCACCAUUCCUAUUGAAUAUACCCGAUCUCGUCUGAUCUCGGAAGUCAAGCAGUCUCGGGCUAGGUUAGUACUUGGAUGGGUGACCGCUUGGGAAUACCAAGUGUGAUGAGCA
rnacentral:rRNA from 1 species